AGAUUGAACGCUGGCGGCAGGCCUAACACAUGCAAGUCGAGCGGCAGCACGGGUACUUGUACCUGGUGGCGAGCGGCGGACGGGUGAGUAAUGCCUAGGAAUCUGCCUGAUAGUGGGGGAUAACGUUCGGAAACGGACGCUAAUACCGCAUACGUCCUACGGGAGAAAGUGGGGGAUCUUCGGACCUCACGCUAUCAGAUGAGCCUAGGUCGGAUUAGCUAGUUGGUAGGUAAAGGCCUACCAAGGCUACGAUCCGUAACUGGUCUGAGAGGAUGAUCAGUCACACUGGAACUGAGACACGGUCCAGACUCCUACGGGAGGCAGCAGUGGGGAAUAUUGGACAAUGGGCGAAAGCCUGAUCCAGCCAUGCCGCGUGUGUGAAGAAGGUCUUCGGAUUGUAAAGCACGUUUAAGUUGGGAGGAAGGGCAAGUUAACCUAAGUUACGUUAGUGUUUUGACGUUUACGACAGAAUAAGCAACCGGCUAAACGUCUGUAGCCAGCAGCCGACGGUAA
rnacentral:rRNA from 1 species